AAUCAACGCUGGCGGCGCGCCUAACACAUGCAAGUCGAACGAGAAAGUGGAGCAAUCCAUGAGUAAAGUGGCGUACGGGUGAGUAACACGUGGAUAAUCUACCCUCUAGUGGGGAAUACCGAUGGGAAACCGUCGACAAUACCGCAUAAGCUCGAGAGAGGAAAGCAGCAAUGCGCUGGAGGAGGAGUCCGCGGCUGAUUAGCUAGUUGGUGAGGUAAAGGCUCACCAAGGCAGAGAUCAGUAGCCGGCCUGAGAGGGCACACGGCCACACUGGCAC
rnacentral:rRNA from 1 species